rnacentral:rRNA from 1 species
CCUACGGGUGGCUGCAGUGAGGAAUAUUGGUCAAUGGACGUGAGUCUGAACCAGCCAAGUAGCGUGAAGGAUGACUGCCCUAUGGGUUGUAAACUUCUUUUAUAUGGGAAUAAAACAGGUCAUGCAUACUCUCUUGUAUGUACCAUAUGAAUAAGGAUCGGCUAACUCCGUGCCAGCAGCCGCGGUAAUACGGAGGAUGCGAGCGUUCUCCGGAUUUAUUGGGUUAAAAGGGUGCGCAGGCGGCGAGUUAAGUCAGCGGUAAAAUUUCGGGGCUCAACCCGGACGUGCCGUUGAAACUGGCUUGCUAGAGUGGGCGAGAAGUAUGCGGAAUGCGUGGUGUAGCGGUGAAAUGCAUAGAUAUCACGCAGAACUCCGAUUGCGAAGGCAGCAUACCGGCGCCCAACUGACGCUCAGGCACGAAGGCGUGGGUAUCGAACAGGAUUAGAUACCCGUGUAGUC